UACGUAGGGGGCAAGCGUUGUCCGGAUUUAUUGGGCGUAAAGAGCGUGUAGGCGGCCAGGUAGGUGGGUUGUGAAAACUGGAGGCUCAACCUUCAGAGGUCGACCCAAACCCCCUGGCUAGAGUCCGGAAGAGGAGAGUGGAAUUCCUGGUGUAGCGGUGAAAUGACGCAGAUAUCAGGAAGAACACCCGUGGCGAAGGCGGCUCUCUGGGACGGUACUGACGCUGAGACGCGAAAGCGUGGGGAGCGAACAGG
rnacentral:rRNA from 1 species